CAAAGAUGUAGCGUCAUGCAUUGCGUUUCUUUCGCGCUUUCUUUUUGUGAUGUAUGAUAUACUGAAUAUUUUGUGAUAUAUAAAGUUUUAUUAUUAUGAGUUACUAUUUUUCUAAUAAAUGAUCUUUAUCUCGAAGGCAUUGUCUAUUCAAUUUUUUUCACCAGAAUUGAGGAUAGAACCUAAAUUACCCCUAUUAUACGUCAGUAGGUGAGGAAACGUGGUUGGAAGAUGGUUGGAGUGGAAUAAAAAGUGAGAAUAAAAGAGAAAGGGGCUUCGAGGAUUGCAUCGAACAGAAUGAAACUGCGAGAGACAGAUUGAUCAUAAAAUUAAUAUUACUCAACUUGCAAAAAAAGGACUGAAAUCACCAUAUUACAUCUUUAUAUUCAAUGCAAUAAAAUAUAAAAUUAUACAAUUGGAUAUCCAUAUAUUUAUCACAUGUAUAUCACAUGUCUAUCAUCACAUGUCUAUCAUUGUAAAUGCAAAGAUUUUUCAAAUGGAAACAGACAUUCAGAUUGAACUCUGAUUGCUUUUGCUUUUUUUGAAAUAUGUUAUGAUUGAACAAUUUAGAAAAUAACAAUAAAUAUUCAAUCGAAUAUCGAAAAAAAACGCUUAUAUUAGAAGCAUUGUGCUAAAAUCUAAAAUACGACAAAAUCUUGAGUAAACUGAAAAAGAUGUCUUAUCUUUCGCAACUUUCGAAGAGGAUCAAAAUGAACAGAAACAUAGUUCUCUACUAAAAUGAUUGAUGAUCAAAUGGGAGAAGAAAAGAAGCAGCUCGAUUUUAUAUCAUUUACAAAACAGUUUUGUGAAGUUCGAAAGAAAUUUCAGACAUUAAAAAAUUUAUCAUUAUGAUCCGUCACCUUUGCGAGUCCCCGGCCAACUGACUGCGAGUUUCGAGACGCGCUAAUAACAACCCACUACUUGCGCGAAUCAAAUGCGCAGUACACUUCAAAGGAGAUUUUUUCGUCACGAGUCAGACGCAACCCAGUACAUAUGGGUUCCUGUUAUUUCAACACAGUGGCUCAUUAUACGUUUUUUCUAUUUCCAUUUACAUUGAUAGAGAAGUAAAAUCAAUAAGAUUUUUUAUGUAAAAGUAUUUGUUAAUUUAAUAU